CUCAAUUCCAUUACACAUUGUAAAAUAAGUCAAUAACAUUAAGCAAAGAAGCAAUUUGCGGUAAACAAACUAGAUAGAAGAUAAAAUAGACGUAAAUUACUGCAAGAGCAAGUUUAGAAAAUAAAAUUCAUGGUUCCAUGAAAUUCUAUUAUAUGGUUUCUUAUAUGUCUGAAAUCCAAGGAUCGUUCAGUUUUGCUCAUUCUACUUGGUUUAUCACCGAGUUCUUCACUUGGUUCUCUCCAGCAUAACUAUCAGGCAUUCAAUAGUAGUGUAAUAUAUUGCCAGUAGACUGGAAAGCUGCCUGUUUGGUUUAAGGUAGUUUGAAGAAACCACAAGCUUGUUAAUUAAUCUGGUAUGAAUAGGAUUACAAACUAAAAAGGUGUAUCAGGGCGCAGCCAUUUGCCCCCACUGGAUU
rnacentral:lncRNA from 1 species